GUGUGAACGAGGCAAAACAAAUAACAGAUAAGCCUUGAAAGACGACGAAUGUCGACAAAGCGAAAAGACUACCAGUCGAAGUAGUUGAGUGUUAGCUGUUAAACGUUUUUAAUACUUUAUCAUCUAUCUAUAUAUCUUUAUUUCUUUUAAUUAAAUCAACAGUUAUAUAUAUAAAGUCACAGAAACGGACAGAUGGUCGACCAGUUAAAAAGUGAAAGAAGAUAUGGGAUACAUAGAAAUGAGAAAAAAAGUGCAAAAGACACUUUUCAGAGUGGAUACUAGAAAGAUCACGGAUAAGCUGCACUUUCGAAAAAAACCUUGUACCCGGAAAUGACAUGGCGAAAGAACUCAGAGAUAUCUACGCUCUCGUUAGCCGAGCUUGAUUGCACGUUCUUCCCAAAGAGCGUAUUCGAAGCAGAUAGCUCUCGACUUUCGUGUGCUCUCCAUUGCAAUAUCGAACAACAAGAACGUCAAAACUCUAUGCAAAAUAAGAUAAGAAGUCUAAAACGAAGCGAGCAUGCAAAGUUAAUGACGUUAACCAGAGGGAUAAAAAAAAAAGGAAAAGGUAGCAAGAAGUUUUGUGACGUGUGUCAAACGCAAGUUCCGUCGCGUCGGGUUAAAACGAAAAACGAUCUCAAAAGUCUCGAGAAUGAGGAAAAGAGGGAAAACAUGGACAUUUUGUGAGAAAAGAUAAAAACGUGUGGCUCGUGUAUAUGCCUGGCACUUGCAGCAACAUAGCCAAUAAUCGUCUUGCCGGCAGUGAUCAUAACGAUUAUGGUGUAAGAGUGCUUGUUGAACGAGCGUAACAUUAUUAUAAAAGAGCCAAGAUGUAACUGUAGCAAACGGAAAGCUCGACUUUCUGGGGAAACAAACGACGUGAACGUUUCGCGAUGAAAGUACUUUCUGAAAAUCGUUCCCAACAUAGCGAACAACCAUUAGCGCGAUUAUGUCACCAAGAAAUAAGGCGAAUAUGUGAACCCGCUAGGUUAUUUAUGAAACGUUUUAACGAGUUACACCGAAAGAUCGUAAUAUACCUUUUUUUUUUUUUUUACAAAACUCUUUUAUUUUCUCUUAACAAAACUUUAAUAAAAACUAUGAAAAUCUCGUGAGAUCGUUAUCUCCUCGUCUAUUUAUAUUUCACUAAAAGGAUAUAUUUCGUCAGGUCCUGCCAACGUCAAUUUCUUUAUUACUAUUCGAAAAUAUGCUUCUUCCUAUCGGAAAAAGUACGCUUGAUGCAAUCCUUUCUCUCUCGUCUCUUCCAACACAUCUAAUUUAAGCAACAUUAUUAGCCUGUUUGGAAAAAGAGAAGAGUUAUUAUACCUAAAUUGUCUAUAUAUUGUAACUGUAAACACAAUCUUUUGUCCCAGCCAAGUUACGGCUUCUAAAAUACAAUGGAAAGUACAGAAAGGUGACUAGGUAUUCUACUCUAAGAUAAUAGAUGCUUUGUCGGUAGUGGUAGUCAAGACGUAAUAUUUGAUAACAGCAAGGUUUAAUACCACUUGUCUCGGUGGUAACUUCAUUAAGUAAAAUCGUAGGCGUUCGUGAAUUCAAUUACAAUAGCAAUGUCAAGAAAACUAUAGCAACAUUAGGUAAUAAUACAUAUGAAAUGACAUGAACUUCGAUGACAAGCUUUUUGUUAGUUUCGUCGAUACGAUCGUCUUCCGAAGGAAACUUUACGAUGUCGAAAUAAAAUGUUGCAUCUUGUCCGAGAGAUAUCAUCAAUGUUGCUUACUUCCCUAUUUCAAAGUACUUCCUACACAAGAGUUUGGAUUAGAAAUUGUGAGUAUAACGCUAUUUGCUGCAGUAGAAAGGUCGGAGUACCGUAAAGCAGCGUAACGUUCACCGGCAGUACUCAACGAAGAAAGGAGAAGUACAUUCUGGAAGAAACGAAUGACCUUCGAAUGUUCACGAGGACUCUCCAAUUUCCUACUAUUCACGUACCGACGAGAACUUCGCUCAAAGAUCUCCACCCAUAGGAGAAUAAGGUUCAUCCUGUUCGUCUACCAUCUUUAUAUUGCUCCUUUUUAUAUCUACAUAUAUUUUCUCCGUUAAAUUGUUAUAAAAAAAAAAAAAAGAAAAAAGUAAUAUUUUUCCAAAAUGCCGAAAAAAGAACGUCGACGUUUUUUUUUUUUUUUUGGUGAAACCAUUGAUUAAUAAGAUUAAAAGAUUGACUUCGAAAGAACAAUACGAAGUUAAGAAUUAGUAUUUUGAUUUUAAUGAAAUUUAAAAUCUUUCGAAUUUUGUUAGGAUAGCGUUACGGGAACUUCCAUUUUCAUUGAAAGUUAUAACGUAUAAACCUUUUUUUUUUUUUUUUGUAAUAAUGAUUUUGUAAGAAAUUUUCAAAGAUCGUAUCGAAAAAGUUUUGAUUGUAACCGGCAUAAUAACCGUAUAUAUAUAUAUAUUAUCGAGCGAAUUCAGGAAAUCUGGAUUUACUUGAAAGAUUCAUUCAUGUCUAUCAGUAAUCUUUUAUUAAACGUUAAUCUUUACAAGAUAGACGGGAAGCGUACGUUAAUAUAUCCUAUGCUGUCUUCUUUUCAAGAAAGACAAAUCGAUAUGUAAGUAUAAAAGAUCGGUGUGUCGGCCUUUGAUAAAACAAAUCGUCGUUAUCGUAAGCAUUCGUUUCAUCCGCAUACAUAUCUUUUUCAUCCUUCGUGAGACAUCGCCGAUGGAUCAGCCAAGUAGCAAAUAAUAGAUAUAUAAAUCGACGCUGCCAAACUGAAUAAUUUGUCCGUAUCUAGCGAGCACAAACACUCACCUUUCAGCCCGUCUAUUUUCUAUGUAGAAGAAACGUUUUCAAACGUAUAGUGAUGCGUACUAUCCCACAGUCUCGUCUUUCACCCACCAUCCACAAAUUCAAGCUUGCACCUUCCCUUUGACCAUUCACCUCAGAAUACCUCGAUCCAUUCCUCUUGCUGGUUUGAUUAUUCUUCGAUCCUCCUAUAUGCGAAACCACAAGUCUCGUUUUCUUCUUCUCCUUCUUUCUCUCUCUCUCUCUCUCUCUUUCUCUCUUCCUUUCUUUCUCUCUCUCUCUCUCUCUCUCUCUCUCUCUCUCUCUCUCUCUCUAUCUGUCUUUCUUUUUCUAGGCCGCGCGCGGGCGCGCGUACACCUGAGUCAACUCGACUCACAACGUUGACUUAGACAUAGAGUGUUACUACUGAAAAUAUUGACACGAAGCAAGUGACGCGCAAACCAAUUUCGCCCGUUCUCUAUUCUCUUCCUAAACUUUUCCUUCUUCUUUUAUCAGUAAGAAAAGUCGCAAUAAUUCAUGGUGCUAUAAUAUUAAGUACAUCAGUGACAAGAGGACUAUCGGAAACGAUCAUCUAAACGAAUGAUUUAUCAACAUUACUAUAUCUUUAUUGGUUAUUAUUAUUAUUUUUGAAUGAUAAAGAAACUUUGAGACUAAUUGUUUCUUCUCAAGAAAAUUUGUUUAUUCGUAUUAAUGUCUCCUUGAAAUAGAUAAUGUAAAGUGAGCAAUCAUUCUGAAAAUGGUUUCGUAAGUGAACGCAUUUUACUUCGUUUCUGAAAUAAAGAUCUGUUAAUAUCUGAAAAUGGGAUUCGAUCAAUAUUCGUUCCAACUUCGUUCUGUCUUUUCUAAACGAUCACAUAUACGUUGGCGAAAAGCGAGUAACACUUGAAAAAUUACACAUAAGUUUUAUUACUGUAAACUUAAAACAUUCAUUGUACAUUCUUAGAAAUGUUCUCUGAAAAUAUUGAUCGGCUUGAUUUAUAUUUAAAUUUGAAAUAAUGUUGAAUCUCGAAUAUUAGAAACAAUCAAGUCGAGUUUAUAUUCGAAUACGUUCAAUGAUUUAAAAUUAAUUCAUUGAAUUUGACAAUUCGCUUGUGUUAAUCUAAAUGAAAAAAAAAAAGAAGAAGAAGAAGAAGAAAAUGUAAUGUGAAAAAUCCAACCCUUAAUCGUAAAAGAGUAUGGAUUAUGCGUGACUUUCGAUCGGAAAUCUUUUUAAAAGGGAAUCGAUUUAAAGUCCACGAAAGAUAGGAAGAAAGAGAGAAAACGUUUCCUCGAACGAUCGUUCGAGCGCACCUAAGCGAGAAACCUUUUUCCAAAGGUUCGCCCGUAUCGUACCAUUAACUUUACUAAGCGUCGCUAAACUAACCGUAGUGGCAACAGUUUUUCUUCCUAUACUCGAUCCUCUCUGGUAAACUUUUUCCGAAUGGAAAGCCGUUCAGACGUCGCGAGGUACUCCCUCACGCACACAUACAACGGACGAACGUUCGGUAAUACAUGCGCACACACAACUAAGAGACUGGCGGAUACGCUCAUAGAAGUCGAAUCCACAUUCGUUUUAGUGUUCAGACGCGUUAAACCACCUCCCACUCCCACCCUCUCUCCCACACCGCGCUUUCCUCUGCCCGCUUUCUCGAUCUGCCUCGACAAACCGAAAAAGAGAGAAAAGAGAGAUUCCUGAGCCUCGUCGGCGAGCAUUCAGAAGGAAGCAACGUUGAGCUCGAGGGAAACGCUUUACGAUUGAAUUCAGUUAUGUAAAGGACCGCACGAAUUUUGCCUUUCGUUAAAUCACCGAGAAACGACGAAGAGGAUGAAGAUAACAAUGGUGGCGAACAGAAUAACUUGCCAUUCGUGCGACCACUCGUCUUUGACAAUCUUUCUUUGAAUAACUUCCGAACGGUUUACCCUCUACUUUGCUCUCGGGGUUUAACGAUGACGAGUCCCUUGAUUUAUGACAUUUGUUCGCAGUUAUUAAACUUCGUGAUGCAGCAUGCCUCCAGAAAGUAAAGAAGAAAAAUAUUGUCGUUCGUGUUGGCGAUGUAAUCAUAAUUGAUUUUUAUGCAAGUUUAAUAGGUAUACAUAUAGCUUUUCUAUUCUAUCCUUUUAUAGACAGAAUCAAGCAACGAUUUUUACAAUAUACGUUUUGUUAUUCGAUGUAGACUUUUACUGAAGAUGGAAUAGUGAAAAUAUCGUAUGUUCGAUGACUUGGAUAUUGUAUAACGUGUAUCAAAAAAAGAAAUGUCUACUGUCUCUUCGUACGUAGUUUCAUUGUCAAUAGAAUAAAACGACGACUAUAAUCGAUCCAACAAAUGCUAUUUUUACAGCCAAGAAUACUUUCUUUCCUGGAUCUGUCGUGAACUUUAUUACAAUCGAUAGUCUGAGUAAAUGUGUUUUACUCUUCCGCAAUUCAACUAGAUUGCAUUGAAAACAAUAAUCAUUUAUUCAUA